rnacentral:rRNA from 1 species
AACGAACGCUGGCGGCAGGCCUAACACAUGCAAGUCGAGCGCCCAGCAAUGGGAGCGGCGGACGGGUGAGUAACGCGUGGGAAUUUUUCCUGGAGUACGGAACAACCGAGGGAAACUUCGGCUAAUACCGUAUGAUGUCUAGCGACCAAAGAUUUAUCGCUCUGGGGUAAGCCCGCGUCAGAUUAGGUAGUUGGUGGGGUAACGGCCUACCAAGCCUGCGAUCUGUAGCUGGUCUGAGAGGACGAUCAGCCACACUGGGACUGAGACACGGCCCAGACUCCUACGGGAGGCAGCAGUGGGGAAUCUUGCGCAAUGGGCGAAAGCCUGACGCAGCCAUGCCGCGUGAGUGAAGAAGGUCUUAGGAUUGUAAAGCUCUUUCGCUCGUGACGAUGAUGACGGU